AAAGCCCAGAUUGAAAGGAAAAAAAAUCCGGGAAAUAUAGGAGAGGGGAGGCCAAACUGUGGGGAUACCAGCUGGCCUUCACAAAAGAGAUGGUGUCGUCAUCUGUUAUAUUACAACGUCAAGAUCUGGGGUGACAGUCCACACUCACCUGUCACUCAUAAUAGCUGUGUUUAACGAAGAAUGGCUUACCUUUGCUACAUAAAGGAUCUCAGAGGUGAGGAUGACAGAGGGAAGUAAUGAAGUUAUUCGGGAAGAAUGGGCUCAAACUGAGAGAUCAUUUGCACCACUCCUCAGCUGGUGUCUACAAGAUCAGACACAGGUGACACAAAGGGAGAGAUUGUCCCUGAACUUGAGGAUAUCACAGCUUCUCAGUGGAGGACACAGACAACUAUGAGAAAUUUCAAUCUGGGGUAAUGGGUCCAUCAGCCUUCAACAGAAAAGGUCAUGGCUUGCAGGAAGACUCCAAAGAGUGUUGAGAUACCAGAAAAACAGACAGAUGUUCAGGUUCUGGAUGAAGAACUGUCAACCUCUCUGCCACCAUGUCUGCAUGUGUACCGCCAGACUCCUCAUCAUGACAAUAAUGGACUGAACCACUAAGAUUACAAGCAAGCCCCAAUGAAAUGCUUUCUUUUAAAAGAGUUAUUUUGAUCAUGGCGUCUCUUCAUAGUAACAGAACACUGACUAAAACAGUGCCUUUCCUUCUUAA